rnacentral:rRNA from 1 species
UGCCAGCCGCCGCGGUAAUACAGAGGGUGCAAACGUUGCUCGGAAUUAUUGGGCGUAAAGCGCGUGUAGGCGGUCUAUUAAGUCGGCUGUGAAAGCCCGGGGCUCAACCCCGGAAGUGCAGUCGAUACUGGUAGACUUGAGUCCUGGAGAGGUUAGUGGAAUACCGAGUGUAGAGGUGAAGUUCGUAGAUAUUCGGUGGAACACCAGUGGCGAAGGCGACUAACUGGACUGAUACUGACGCUGAGGCACGAUAGCCUGGGGAGCAAACAGGAUUAGAUA